CAUCACUGAACAACAUUGAUAAUGGAGAUUCCAAAUAAAAGUUUACUUAAAGGGGUGGACAUGUAGUGAGGUAAGUUCACAGGCAAGCCACAGAGCAACAGGAUACCAUUCAACAACCAUACAAGUAUAGAGACUGUCAAUAUGGAAUCAGGACAAACUGAGUGAGAUUUCCAAAACCAAAUGUCAUAAAUCUUUGCGCUUCGUAUUGAUGGAUUCAUUACAGGGAAAGAAGACCACUAUAUAUACAUAUAUAGAUUGAGUGUAGCUGCUAUCAUCAAUGCUAAAAAGGUACUAGCAGUGCCAACAUUCAUACCCAUGCACGUGCAAAUAAUCAGGUACAUUGACCCAUGACAAUACAUGUAUAUCAUGCAGGCUCAAAAGUCAAACAUUAAUUUGUAUGUAUUGAAAGUGCAGAAGAAACAGCAUCAUUGAACAACAUUGAUAAUGGAGCAUCCAAACAAAAUAAUGAUUAGAGUAUUUAAAGGGACAGUGAGGUAUAGGUUCACGGGCAAGCACAGAGCAACAGGAGGAAACCAUUCAACAACCGUAUACAAGACAAACUGGAGCGAGAUUCCCAAAACCAAACGUCGGGAAUAUUUGCUUCGCAUCGAGUUCAUUACAGGGAAAGAAGACCACUACUAUAUAUCUUGUCUCUGCCCACCUUGCUCGCUGCAUUCCUUCUUCUUUUUGCUUGGCCAGGAAUUCUGUUGAGUGUAGUUGCUCUAAAAAGGUGCACCAUUCAUACCCAAGAUUCAUAUUGCAUGCACGUGCAAAUAAUCAGGCACGAGGAAACCAGUAUUGUGAUGUACAUUGACUCGUAACAAAAUAUCAUGCAUGUUCAAAACUGGACAUUGAAGGGAAUAAAACUGAGGCUGAGAGAAAGGCUUUUCUGGCUAAGAAUCUCAACAUUGCAUCCUACAUCAUCUCUGGAGUGUUUCAUAGUGAUGUCAACGGUAUUCCCAGUGGCACUUCACAUUGGAAUCAGGCUAUACGCAGCUGAUUUAGAACUACUGAAAUAAAGAAAUAAAGAAUACAGACACGUAUGUAUGAAUAUUUCAUAAAUAAAAAUUGUGACAAACUGAAAUCACACAAUCUGAGUGCUUGAUCCACCCACUUUAUUGAUAAACAGCAGUGCUAUAUGGUUGUCUGCGCAUGCGCAGAAAAUAAGCAUGCCUGCUCCAUAGUAACAGCUGCCACACGCAUGUGUAUUUAAGGGACACGCCCAUUUUC